rnacentral:rRNA from 1 species
AUUGAACGCUGGCGGCAGGCCUAACACAUGCAAGUCGAGCGGAUGAAGGGAGCUUGCUCCUGGAUUCAGCGGCGGACGGGUGAGUAAUGCCUAGGAAUCUGCCUGGUAGUGGGGGAUAACGUCCGCAAACGGGCGCUAAUACCGCAUACGUCCUGAGGGAGAAAGUGGGGGAUCUUCGGACCUCACGCUAUCAGAUGAGCCUAGGUCGGAUUAGCUAGAUGGUGGGGUAAAGGCCUACCAAGGCGACGAUCCGUAACUGGUCUGAGAGGAUGAUCAGUCACACUGGAACUGAGACACGGUCCAGACUCCUACGGGAGGCAGCAGUGGGGAAUAUGGGGCAAUGGGCGAGAGCCUGAUCCAGCCAGGCCGCGUGUGUGAAGAAGGUCUUCGGAGUGUAAAGCACUUUAAGUUGGGAGGAAGGGCAGUAAGUUAAUACCUUGCUGUUUUGACGGUACCAACAGAAUAAGCACCGGCUAACUUCGUG